UACAUGUGGGGCAAGCGUUGUUCGGAAUUACUGGGCGUAAAGGGUAGGUAGGUGGUCUCAUUUGUCUGGGGUGAAAGCCUUGAGCUUAACUCAAGAAGUGCCCCAGAAACGGUGAGACUGGAGUCCUGGAGAGGGUCGUGGAAUUCCCGGUGUAGCGGUGAAAUGCGUAGAGAUCGGGAGGAACACCAGAGGCGAAAGCGGCGACCUGGACAGGCACUGACACUCAACUACGAAAGCGUGGGGAGCAAACAGG
rnacentral:rRNA from 1 species